UGGGAUUUCAGACUAAGGUUUCAGAGUUUAAAGGCAAAUCUAGGCUGAAUUUUUACGAAAAGGUUCCGUUAGUUUGAGAGUUCAGUUCUAGAAAGUGAAAUCAGGCUAUCUUAUCCUGAAUUCAUUAGUAGGAGAGAGAGAUUGUUCUUCUUUGAGGGCUAAAAAUUAGAAAACUGCUAUUUUCUUACAUCUGCCUCUUUUCUGCUUUGUCUGUGAUUGCCUUUUGGUACUGCUGGGUUUCAUUUUGGUAUCUCCUGGAUUUACUAGCGGUUGAGCACUCUUUCAUUGGGUCGCUACUGGAUUUUUUGUUUAUUUUAAUUUCCGUCCCUGGGUUCUACUACUGGUUAUUGUUGGUUAUUGGGUGUUGCUGAUUGUUGCUGAGUAUUGUUGUUGUUGCUGUGUGUUUACUGCUGCACUACUGAUAUUCCUUUCCUUCUUUGGCAUUUUUCAAUAAUCAGGUACACAACUGGUACUUCUUGUAGCUGAAACAUAUUGAAGCAUGAAUAUGAAAUGAAGAACUGAAGUUUUAACAUUUAGCUUUGUAUAUUCUGAAAUUUUAAUUUGUGUAAUAUAGUAAUUAGUUUCAUCUGUUAAAAGCAUGUAGUAGAUUUGCUAUGUACAACUGAGUAUCGAACAGUAGUAGUGGAUAGAAUGCCCUGCAUGUUAGUUUAAAGAAUCAAUAAUGUAGUGGUAGCAUUCUGAUAUUUUAGUUUAUUUCUUUACAAAGCAUGUUUCAAAUACGUAUAAAGACAUUAGGUUAAUUAAUCAGUAGUUUAAGUUGUUUUAGUUAGCAGACUUGUUUAUUUAGAGUCAUAAAAGUGCUUUUGUAGUUGUUGAUUCCAUUUCUUCCUUAUUGUGAAUACCAAAAAGUGUAAAGUAUGUAGUAGGACGGACGCUAAAAUAGAAAUGGCCCAAGUCCAGAUCUGUGCCUGGUAUGCUGGGCCUGGGACCAAAAGUGUUCUGC
rnacentral:lncRNA from 1 species